GACGAACGCUGGCGGCGUGCUUAACACAUGCAAGUCGAACGGUGAAGCGCCUUCCUUUUUGGUGGGUGUGGAUGAGUGGCGAACGGGUGAGUAACACGUGAGUAACCUGCCCCCUUCUUCUGGAUAACCGCAUGAAAGUGUGGCUAAUACGGGAUAUUCUGGGUCUGUCGCAUGAUUGGUCUGGGAAAGAUAUUGUUUCGGUUGGGGAUGGGCUCGCGGCCUAUCAGCUUGUUGGUGGGGUGAUGGCCUACCAAGGCGGUGACGGGUAGCCGGCCUGAGAGGGUGGACGGUCACACUGGGACUGAGACACGGACCAGACUCCUACGGGAGGCAGCAGUGGGGAAUAUGGCACAAUGGGCGGAAGCCUGAUGCAGCGACGCCGCGGGAGGGAUGGAGGCCGGCGGGUUGUGAACCUCUUUCGCCAGUGAAGCAGGCCUGCCUCGUUUGUGGGUGGGUUGACGGUAGCUGGAUAAGAAGCGCCGGCUAACUACGUG
rnacentral:rRNA from 1 species